rnacentral:ncRNA from 12 species
UCCGGGGAUAGCCUGGCCAGGCGACAAGCGGGGAUCCUGCCCCCGCUUCCCCGGAUUACUCGCAGG